rnacentral:rRNA from 1 species
AUUGAACGCUGGCGGCAUGCCUAACACAUGCAAGUCGAACGGGUGGCGGACGGGUGAGUAAUGUCUGGAAACCUGCCCGACGUAGGGGGAUAACUACGGUAAACCGUAGCUAAUACCGCAUACCAUCCGUUCUGGCCAGAUUGGAUGAGCUAGUAGGUGGGGUAACGGCUCACCUAGGCGACGAUGCCUAGCUGGUCUGAGAGGAUGACCAGCCACACUGGAACUGAGACACGGCCCAGACUCCUACGGGAGGCAGCAGUAGGGAAUAUUGGACAAUGGGCGCAAGCCUGACGCAGCAAUGCCGCGUGAAUGAAGAAGGCUUUCGGGUUGUAAAGUACUGUCAUCGGGGAGGCGGUACUCGAAGAAGAAGCACCGGCUAACUCCGUGCCAGCAGCCGCGGUAAUAC